UAAACACAGGCUCUUAAUUUAUUUUGCCUUUAAUUAUACAGCUAUCAUUGACAUUUUAUAGAGUUAAGAUGUGUAUAUUUCCAGCCCAUGAAAUAGAUGACAAAUUAAAAUCAGUUUCUGUCAUCAAAUGCUCUUAAAAUUUUAGAACCACCCUGCUGUCAGGAGUUGUCAGUUGAUAAAGUACAGGCUUUUGAAUUGAGCAGCUAAGACUUUGUAUCGAUGGGUCUUUAACAUAUUGCUUAAAAUGUCAGUGCCGAAAUAUGGAAGGCGAAUUUGGAAGAUACAACAUCAGGUCUCACAGCUAUUAUAGCAAGAGUGAACACUGCAUUGAAAUGACCUCCCACUGCAGAUGACAAAAUGUUUUGUUUCAUUAAUAAAAGCAGGUAAGAUUGA